rnacentral:rRNA from 1 species
UACGAAGGGGGCUAGCGUUGCUCGGAAUCACUGGGCGUAAAGGGUGCGUAGGCGGGUCUUUUAAGUCAGGGGUGAAAUCCUGGAGCUCAACUCCAGAACUGCCUUUGAUACUGAAGAUCUUGAGUUCGGGAGAGGUGAGUGGAACUGCGAGUGUAGAGGUGAAAUUCGUAGAUAUUCGCAAGAACACCAGUGGCGAAGGCGGCUCACUGGCCCGGUACUGACGCUGAGGGUUGCGAAAAGCGUGGGGAGCAAACAGG